AGAGACAAUAAAUGAGAAUAGAAAAUUAAUUUAAUAAUUGUCCAGACUCAUGCCAGACCCCUAUUUUCUUGUUCAAUUGUUCCCUGAGAAUGGUUGAGAACAGAAUUUUUCUUCACAUCACUCAUUUGUGAGUUUCUGUUCUUUUAUAUUAUUGUUGCGGGAACUUGAGCUAGCAGUUAUAAAAUUUUUUUUAUUAUGUGAUAAUUGUGAAGGGGAAGUAUUCACAGGACUGUAUUUCUGUUCUACCGCAUAUUUACAGUCCAUCGCAUAUUUACAGUUGCUGUGUUGCCUAGAGACACCAAAUUUUGAGCUCUUUCAUGUCUUGGACACUACAACACUUCGCGACACUCCUUGACACUUCAUAAAUGGCAUCAGAUUAGAUAUGAUCAUUAUCAUGUGUGUACAUCCAUGUGAAAGUUAUCAAGUAUUACGUAAUGGCUAAAAAUAAGCAUUUGAUCGAUUUUCUGAGAUAAAGGAACAAUAGGUUGAGCACAUUAAUAUACAUAGAUCCUUACAUAAUUUGACAUAGGUGUCUAAGAUACAGGUGUUUCCUUUGUCCAAUUUUUAAAAGGUUCAUGUGCCAGAUUCUUCUAGAUGCUUCGUGUCCAAGUAUGUUUGCUGAUAUUCUUUUGUUUUGUAGGGAUAAGAUGUAAACUACGGUGUAUUAUGCUUCAAGAGUAUACCACUUAAAUAUGAUUUUUACAGUGAUCCAACCAUUCUUCAACUUAUAUCUGGAGCUGAGUUUCAAGCCAAAGAUCUCGGAUUAUUGGUAGAAAAUGCAUCGGCAGAGCAGCUUGGCAUGGCAAGGAAGGUUACAAUCUCUCGGAACUCUGCCAUUGCAGAUGCAGCAACCAAGGAUGAGAUACAGGCGAGAUUUGCCCAGAUAAAGAAGAGCUUGCAGAGACAGACUCUGUUUAUGAUUCUGAGAAGCUAGCAGAUAGGAUUGCAAAACUCUCUGGUGGUGUGGUAGCUAUCAAGGCCGCUGCUGCAAUAGAGACAGAGCUUGGAGACUGCAAGCUCAGAAUUGAGGAUGCCAAAAAUGCUACUUUUGCAGCUAUAGAGGAAGGAAUUGUUCCUGGAGGUGGUGCUGCCUAUGUUCACCUCUCUACCCGUGUUCCUGCCGUAAAGGAUAUGCUUAAAGAUGCAGAUGUGCGUCUUGGUGCUGACAUUGUGCAAACACACAUGAUGCGGUUGUGGAUGGAGAAGUGGUGGUGGAGAAGAUUAAGGACAGUAAGUGGGAGGUUGGCUACAAUGUGAUGAUUGACGAGUAUGAGAAUCUGUAGUAGCUGGUGUCGUCAACUCUGUAAAAGUGACUAGAUGUGCAUUGCAGACUGCUGCAUCAGUUGCUGGAAUGGUCCUAACAACACAGGCCAUUGUUGUAGACCAGCACAAACCAAAGGUGGCCGGUGGCUGCGCAAUCUGAGGGUCUUGCCAUCCAAGCAUUCUGCCCUAUUUGGUCUCCCAGAGUUCGGUUAGAUGCAUGAUUCAGAAAUCACAGAUACAAUGGUAGAGCAUUGAUUAGUGUUAUCCCUUCAUCGGGAUUUUAUCUUUUCCUUGACUCUUAUAUUUUGUUAAAAUUUUGUAUGGAGUGCAGGAUUGGCUGCUGCUGUCUUUCAAGUGUUAUAUGCUAUUCAUGA